UCUAGAAUGUGAGAAAAUUAAAUUUCGAUUGCCACCAAAUUUGAAACAUUAUCAUAAAAAUGUAUGUCAUUCUUACAAAGUAUCAAGUAUGCCACUAUGACAUUAUAUAAUAAUAUCAAACUUAAAGUUGUCAAACACAAAAAUACAUAUGAUGAAUUUAACAAAAAUAUAUAACAAAAAGUAACUAAAGUUAAACUUCAUCACAUCAUUUUCAUUAGUAACCAUCUCGACAAGGAGAUACACCCAUCGACGACAGCUAUGAACGCAAACCCAACAUGGAGGAAGAUGAACGCAAACUUAGCAGCUAGAAGAUGAACACAGACCAGAGGCGAGAAAUCAAGUUCACUGUCCUCCAUUUGAAAAAGCUAAUCCUAUUUCAACUGCCUAAACCUGGACAAAAAUCACAAAAACAUUCUUAAUGCGAAUUCUAAAUUGGGAAUUCAAAAUAAAACAAGUACAAUACUGAUCACAAGUGAUGAAAUUGGAAUGUGUUGUUACAAUUGAUAGAAUUAAAAGUGAGACCUCAAUCAAUAGAAAAGAAAAAACAAAAUAAUUGAGGGAAACCCUAAAAAGAAGAGUAUACCACUACCGCUAUUAACAUGACAAUAAAAUAGAAACAAAACCUCAAGGCUCAAGCUACAUCACAUGCUUAGCUCUCUACCAUUUCAAGAACCUGAAGUAAAUUUAAAAGAAUAGACCAUUGAUUUAAGUAAACUUGAAGAAAAAACUUACAACUAGCAUUGACAUCAUAGAACCUGAAGUAAAUUUAAAAGAAUAGACCAUUAAGUUUAAACAUCAUAACAGAGGUUUCAGUAGCAAACUAAACACAAACAUAAACCUUACCACACACAUGAAACUACUACCACAACAUAAACCAAAACCCAAUAAUAAACCACUAACAGGGAGAAAGAAACAGAACUGCCCCAAAUACAACAAAACUAAAAAUUAAAACAACGGCAAAAAAGAUCUGAGGCAACACGCACACGCCAAUCACAACAGCAGCACAACCAAAACAUUGAGGGGGCCAACACCAAAAUAGAUCACACAUAACAUUCCUUGGUUUAGAUCAUAGAUUAAGUACCUACCUCGUAGCUAUUAUUUCUUGGUUUAGAUCAUAUCCAUGUUACAUCAGUGGUACUGCAAUUGUGAGAAUCGCAGGAACAAAGACAUCCUCUACAUCACCAAUUUUCCGCCUUUUUUUUCUUCUUUCUUUCCCUAAUCAGCACUUUAGCCACAUAUUUUUUGACCUUUUUCAAUUUUUAUAAAUGAUUUGUCCUGAAAAGUAAAACCAAUUAAUCCAUAUCAAGAAUUAUCAUAAAGUCAGAGAGAGAACAGUGUGUGACCUAAUUUGGCUGGUAUCAACAUUUUCAAUAUAAGCUUACACAGCAUAACUAUUAGACAUAACCAAGGCAAAAUAUGAAAGUAUAAAAUUAGAAGAAACAAAAAAAGCUGCAAUGAAAAGAGAGAAUUGAUUAAAUAUUUCCUAACAUAUUCAAAAGACACAAAAGUACAAAAUCCAUGAAAUAUAAUACAGUAUGUAAAAAACAAUACCAAAAAUUCCAAGUUCUACAAACGCAACAACACCGUAAAUGCAGCAAAUGCAGAAUUAUGACUUAAGCUGCUCAUUGAACAAACAAUUGUGACAUCGCGCAGCCAAUUAUAUUUUCUUCAAUUGCUUUUACAAUUGGUUCCUGCAAUAAUCAACACAAACUUCAAUAACCCAAAAUGAUAUACAUAAAGAUAAAGGUCCACUACAUGACAUUUAAAUUGAAACCAAAAUGAUAUAUAUGAAAAAUGGAUAUAGACCUAUAAUAAACUGCAAUUAUUCAUUGAAAUUAACUGCAAAAGGUAAUUUAAAUUGUUCACUGAAAAAAACUACUUACAAAACUAUCUUCAUGAAUACGCCAAAUAGUUUUGCCCAACAGAUUCACUACGGUAAGAAUAGUUACCCGAGGGAAAUAGUUGUUCUCUGCAAUGGGAAUGGUGUUGGUAAUUAUCAUCUCUUAUAAAAAUAUUAUUAGUAGCUCAAUGUGUAUUUUUCAAAUUCUUUUUACCUCGCACUUGUAGGCUUGCAGCUAACAAGCAUACCAANNNNNNNN
rnacentral:lncRNA from 1 species